UGAGCAAUCUGCCCUUCUCUUCGGAAUAAGCGUGGGAAACCGCGUCUAAUGCCGAAUACGACCUCCUUUCGCAUGAUCGGAGGUGGAAAGCUCCGGCGGAGAAGGAUGAGCUCGCGGCCUAUCAGCUAGUUGGUGUGGGUAAUGGCCCACCAAGGCGACGACGGGUAGCCGGCCUGAGAGGGUGACCGGCCACACUGGGACUGAGACACGGCCCAUACUCCUACGGGAGGNAG
rnacentral:rRNA from 1 species